UACGUAGGUGGCGAGCGUUAUCCGGAAUUAUUGGGCGUAAAGAGCGCGCAGGUGGUUGAUUAAGUCUGAUGUGAAAGCCCACGGCUUAACCGUGGAGGGUCAUUGGAAACUGGUCGACUUGAGUGCAGAAGAGGGAAGUGGAAUUCCAUGUGUAGCGGUGAAAUGCGUAGAGAUAUGGAGGAACACCAGUGGAGAAGGCGGCUUCCUGGUCUGUAACUGACACUGAGGCGCGAAAGCGUGGGGAGCAAACAGGAUUAGAUA
rnacentral:rRNA from 1 species